AUAUUGCGCAAUGGGGGAAACCCUGACGCAGCGACGCCGCGUGAACGAUGAAGGCCUUCGGGUCGUAAAGUUCUGUCCUCAGGGAAGAAUAAAUGACGGUACCUGAGGAGGAAGCCCCGGCUAACUACGUGCCAGCAGCCGCGGUAAUACGUAGGUGGCAAGCGUUGUCCGGAAUUACUGGGUGUAAAGGGCGUGUAGGCGGGAAUGCAAGUCAGAUGUGAAAUACCGUGGCUUAACUACGGGGGUGCAUCUGAAACUGUGUUUCUUGAGUGUCGGAGAGGAAAGUGGAAUUCCCAGUGUAGCGGUGAAAUGCGUAGAGAUUGGGAGGAACACCAGUGGCGAAGGCGGCUUUCUGGACGAUAACUGACGCUGAGGCGCGAAAGCGUGGGUAGCAAAC
rnacentral:rRNA from 1 species